rnacentral:lncRNA from 8 species
CAUUGUAAAAUCUAAAUAGCUCUGCAGAUGUGAUGGAAACAUGGCAUAUCCUGGUCUGGCGUAUUUGUCUGAUCCUGGCCCUCUUGCCGCACCUGCACCAGUGCCUGUCAGUGCAUUUCCAGAACAAGGGUCUCCUUUAUGUGGCUCUGGGGAGAGACCUGGUCCUGCAGACCCAGUUCCAGAUUACACCAACCGAGAAGAUCGUCAUGGUGAUUUGGGACUACGAGACUGAGAAGGGUCAGGGACAGGUCAGGCUGGCCAAUCACCAAACUGCACUUGGCAAUCCUUUAGACCAGAAGGGGGCCUUAUUUAGGGUGGAGAAUAUAAAUUCAUCUAACUAUGGAGUCUACAUCAUCACUGUGACUGACCAGAUGGGGAAUGAGGAAUCAGCAAAGAUACUUGUUAGAGAGAGUGUUGCUGCUCCUGUGGCGUCUCUGUCCCUCCAGUGUGAGGUGGCCAAUGACAGGGCACAGUGGGACAGCCCAGUGGUUUCCUGGUUGGUGGAUGGGAUAGAGGUCUCCAAUCAGACAGCCAAUCUCUCUGCAGAUGGCAGGAACCUCUACGUCUCUGGAAUGAAGGGCCACAACUACACCUGUGUGGUCAACAGCAGUCUGGGGACUAGUGUUACAAACUACAUCACUGAUUCUCCUACACCAUCCCAAAGUAAGCAAUCCUGUGAGACCUGGUGUGUUGUAAUAUUGGCCACCAUAUUGGCCACCGUCGUCAUCAUCAUCCUAGUGAUUCUAACAAAAUGUGGAUGUCUCUCCUGGAGAUGCAAACAGCGGAGGACGAACGGGAUUAUAUGACCUUAGGAGGUCCCUCGCAUUCCAUUAUCAGUCUUAUGGUACUUUGUUACACACUGCACGAUCACACAAGUCUUUGGCACAGAUGGGCACCUGUGGAUGUAUGAGGAGCACCUGUAUGAUAUGAGGAGUUUAAUGUAAUAUUCUAUUGCAGCAAGUCACACUACCAGACACCUAAGAUCAUUCCUAUUAAGAGCUGUAGCCCUAUUCCGCAUAAAUAAAAUAUAUUGAUAUGCUUUUUAUCAAAUUAUAUUGUAUUGGUCAUAUACAAAUGUUUAGCAGAUGUUAUUGUGGGUAUAGUGAAAUGCUUGUUAUUGGUGUAUUUAUAUGCUGAUUUGUGGUAUUUAUUGAUGCAGUGUCCACACGUAUAUUUUGACUUAUUAUAUAUUUUUGUUAAGUACUGUAUGCCAUCACAUUUACAACUUAAACCUACUUUUGUGAUGCCUAUGUAUGAUAGAAAGCAAAUGGAAAAAAUGCACACUUUGCUACACUUCCAUAGGAGACAGUGAAGAGACAAACUCAGCAAAAAAAUAAACCUCCUCUCACUGUCAACUGUGUUCAUUUUCAGCAAACUUAACAUGUGUAAAUAUUUGUAUGAACAUAACAAGAUUCAACAACUGAGACAUAAACUGAACAAUUUCCACAGACAUGUGACUAACAGAAAUGAAAUAAUGUGUCCCUGAACCAAGGGGGGUCAAAAUCCAAAGUAACAGUCAGUAUCUGGUGUGGCCACCAGCUGCAUUAAGUAUUACAGUGCAUGUCCUCCUCAUGGACUGCACCAGAUUUGCCAGUUCUUGCUGUGAGAUGUUACCCCACUCUUCCACCAAGGCACCUACAAGUUUCCAGACAUUUCUGGGGGGGAAUGUCCCUAGCCCUCACCCUCCGAUCCAACAGGUCCCAGACGUGCUCAAUGGGAUUGAGAUCCGGGCUCUUCGCUGGCCAUGGCAGAACAUUGACACUCCUGUCUUGCAGGAAAUCACGCACAGAACGAGCAGUAUGGCUGGUGGCAUUAUCAUGCUGGAGGGUCAUGUCAGGAUGAGCCUGCAGGAAGGGUAGCACAUGAGGGAGGAGGAUGUCUUCCCUGUAACGCACAGUGUUGAGUUUGCCUGCAAUGACAACAAGCUCAGUCCGAUGAUGCUGUGACACACCGCCCCAUGACGGACCCUCCACAGUGUUUAAACCCUUUACAAUGAAGAUCUGUGAAGUUAUUUGGAUUUUUACGAAUUAUCUUUUUUAAGACAGGGUCCUGAAAAAGGAACAUUUCUUUUUUUGCUGAGUUUAGAAACACAGCAGUCUGGAUGAGGGAGGAAAAGCAUAGCACCAACUAUUUCAUGAAAUAGCGCCAUCCACUGGCUUGUUUUAGAACUUCCUCUAUUCAUAAUAUCAUUCAGAGGCGCAACUUUGGUUUUAGAAUUGGGGGGGGGGGGCAUUUUUUUUUUUUAUCCAAUCAGAUACAAAAAUCCCAACAGCCUAACCUACUGCUCGGAGACAUCUGCAUGGUCAUAAAGCACACCGUUGCCUCAUUUUGUAUCACAUUCCAAUGAUAAAACUGGGGGGAACAAAAAUGCAAUUUCAGAAUGUGGGGGAGGGGGGGCAUGUUGCACCCCUGAUUUCAUUUAUGGAUGGUCAUUGUCAUUCACAGAGAACGUGAAUUGAAAAUACUUUACCGUAUUGUUAAUUGUUUUUGCAAAUUAACAAUACGAAAUUAAAGUUGCACUCCAGUCUCCUUUGCACCUGAUUUACUUAAAAGGCACUAGGUGGUCCAGGUACGCUUAUGACAUGGCACAAGUGGGGGGUGGGCCUUUCUGCAUUGUUCUCUAUUGCUCCUCUAUUGUUUCUGCAAGCAAGGGGGAGGCCGAUGACAUCAGAGGGCACCAUCAGACCAACUCCUUGAAUAGCCUACUACAUCAAGUUUGUUACCCUUAAGUGUGUGUACUUAACUGUAUUCAUACUUACUGAAUUCAUACGUCGUAUAUUGUUUUUCAACAGGAAAUGUAAAAAAAAUAAGGAAUAGCUUGAUAUUGUUAUAGAAAAAUCCAUCAUCAUAACCUGAAUAAUAAUGGAAAAACACCACAAAACUACAAAACACAUUUUUGAACAAAGCAUUCCAACAUUGUUAACUUUCCCUUGAGAGAAUGCUAUUCUAAUUUUAUUUACUUUUCUAUUUGAUUAUUGUGUUCAAACCUUGGUGUCAAAGUAUGUGUCCGGACAAUAUGAUUUGUUGCAUUGGCAUUUGAGAGGGUGCUUGGACACAAACAGAUGGAGGGGGGAGGAGUGAUAAUCAGUGUGAUCAUUUUACAACAGAAUACAAUAGAAUCCACUUGUUUAAACACAGCUGAGUAGUGGCAUUUAUUGUACAGGAAAGGGAAAGAGGAAAUUGCACAGCUUCAAAACAAGGUGACGUCUAAGUACCUAACUGGCUGGACCUCACACAGGGAAGGGCUGCGAGUACAAAGUCCUGCACCAGACUGCAAUCUAUCAGAGCAACUUUUAGUUCACUCCAGCCUCUUUCUUUGGGUUGUUUUUGAUGGUUGACAUUUUUCUGUUCUAUUUGCGUAAGGAUUUUUUUGUUUUUCUAUUAUAAAACUGCAUCCAAGCUUCCUGGCGUGCUGUGCCCUACCCCUGAAAAGUGGGCUUCCUUUUGAAUGAAUGCACCUCCUGCCACUUCCAGACUCAUAAUCUCUGACUCAUAAUCCAUUGUACAGUUGGGAAGGUAAGUGAAUUUCAAACUGCUGCUGACUUUGAUCCAGUGCAAGUCAUUGUCUAUGCAUAAAUAUAGACCGGUUACUUAAGGCAAGCUACUAAGUCAGACAUUGAAAAGGAAGUGAAACAAUGACUUCUUUGGAAAACUGGGUCUCUAUCGGUCUCUUAUCAGAGAGGUCAUGGGAACCAUCCAAGACAAACGUCCUCAGUCUGUUAUUCCCCUCUCUCUCUCUC